UACGUAGGGUGCAUGCGUUAAUCGGAAUUACUGGGCGUAAAGCGUGCGCAGGCGGUUAUGUAAGACAGAUGUGAAAUGCCCGGGCUUAACCUGGGAACUGCAUUUGUGACUGCACGGCUAGAGUGUGUCAGAGGGGGGUAGAAUUCCACGUGUAGCAGUGAAAUGCGUAGAUAUGUGGAGGAACACCGAUGGCGAAGGCAGCCCCCUGGGAUAACACUGACGCUCAUGCACGAAAGCGUGGGGAGCAAACAGG
rnacentral:rRNA from 1 species